GACGAACGCUGGCGGCGUGCUUAACACAUGCAAGUCGAGCGAUGAAGCACCUUCGGGUGUGGAUUAGCGGCGAACGGGUGAGGAACACGUGAAGAAUCUGCCUUCAACUCUGGGAUAACUCCGGGAAACCGGGGCUAAUACCGGAUAUGAGCCUUGGCCGCAUGGCCGGGGCUGGAAAGUUUUUCGGUUGAAGAUGACUUCGCGGCCUAUCAGCUUGUUGGUGAGGGAAUGGCUCACCAAGGCGACGACGGGUAGCCGGCCUGAGAGGGCAACCGGCCAAACUGGGACUGAGACACGGACCAGACUCCUACGGGAGGCAGAAGUGGGGAAUAUUGGGCAAUGGAGGAAACUCUGACCCAGCGACGCCGCGUGAGGGAUGAAGGCCUUCGGGUUGUAAACCUCUUUCAGUAGGGAAGAAGCGAAAGUGACGGUACCUACAGAAGAAGCACCGGCUAACUAUGUGCCAGCCGCCGCGGUAAAAC
rnacentral:rRNA from 1 species